AUUGAACGCUGGCGGCAGGCCUAACACAUGCAAGUCGAACGAGUGGCGGACUGGUGAGUAAUGUCUGGGCAACUGCCUGAUGGAGGGGUAUAACUACUGUAAACGGUAGCUAAUACCGCAUACCAUCGGAUCUGCCCAGAUGGGAUUAGCUAGUAGGUGGGGUAAAGGCUCACCUAGGCGACGAUCCCUAGCUGGUCUGAGAGGAUGACCAGCCACACUGGAACUGAGACACGGUCCAGACUCCUACGGGAGGCAGCAGUGGGGAAUAUUGCACAAUGGGCGCAAGCCUGAUGCAGCCAUGCCGCGGGUAUGAAGAAGGCCUUCGGGUUGUAAAGUGCUUUCAGCGGGGAGGCGGUACCCGAAGAAGAAGCAACGGCUAACUACGUGCCAGCAGCCGCGGUAAUUC
rnacentral:rRNA from 1 species